GAGCUUGAGCCGCAAAGAGAGCUAUCCGUGAACAGUAUGCUGUGUGUGCGAAAAUUCACUGUCAUGGAGCUGCUCUCUUUAUGGACAGGUUC
rfam:Daphnia pulex DAPPTscaffold_11_Cont730, whole genome shotgun sequence.